rnacentral:rRNA from 1 species
GUGUAGCGGUGGAAUGCGUAGAUAUAUGGAAGAACACCAGUGGCGAAGGCGGCUUACUGGACUGUAACUGACGUUGAGGCUCGAAAGUGUGGGUAGCAAACAGGAUUAGAUACCCUGGUAGUCCACACCGUAAACGAUGAACACUAGGUGUUAGGAGGUUUCCGCCUCUUAGUGCCGAAGCUAACGCAUUAAGUGUUCCGCCUGGGGAGUACGACCGCAAGGUUGAAACUCAAAGGAAUUGACGGGGACCCGCACAAGCGGUGGAGCAUGUGGUUUAAUUCGAAGCAACGCGAAGAACCUUACCAGGUCUUGACAUCCUUUGAAGCUUUUAGAGAUAGAAGUGUUCUCUUCGGAGACAAAGUGACAGGUGGUGCAUGGUCGUCGUCAGCUCGUGUCGUGAGAUGUUGGGUUAAGUCCCGCAACGAGCGCAACCCUUAUUGUUAGUUGCCAGCAUUCAGAUGGGCACUCUAGCGAGACUGCCGGUGACAAACCGGAGGAAGGCGGGGACGACGUCAGAUCAUCAUGCCCCUUAUGACCUGGGCUACACACGUGCUACAAUGGCGUAUACAACGAGUUGCCAACCCGCGAGGGUGAGCUAAUCUCUUAAAGUACGUCUCAGUUCGGAUUGUAGUCUGCAACUCGACUACAUGAAGUCGGAAUCGCUAUUAAUCGCGGAUCAGCACGCCGCGGUGAAUACGUUCCCGGGUCUUGUACACACCGCCCGUCACACCAUGGGAGUUUGUAAUGCCCAAAGCCGGUGGCCUAACCUUUUAGGAAGGAGCCGUCUAAGGCAGGACAGAUGACUGGGGUGAAGUCGUAACAAGGUAGCCGUAGGAGAACCUGCGGCUGGAUCA